UAACCGUACUGGCAAUAUUUGAUCCUUAGA
rnacentral:piRNA from 1 species